AUUGAACGCUGGCGGCAUGCCUUACACAUGCAAGUCGAACGGUAACAGGUCUUCGGAUGCUGACGAGUGGCGAACGGGUGAGUAAUACAUCGGAACGUGCCCGAGAGUGGGGGAUAACGAGGCGAAAGCUUUGCUAAUACCGCAUACGAUCCCAGGAUGAAAGCAGGGGACCGCAAGGCCCUGCGCUCACGGAGCGGCCGAUGGCAGAUUAGGUAGUUGGUGGGGUAAAGGCUCACCAAGCCGACGAUCUGUAGCUGGUCUGAGAGGACGACCAGCCACACUGGGACUGAGACACGGCCCAGACUCCUACGGGAGGCAGCAGUGGGGAAUUUUGGACAAUGGGCGCAAGCCUGAUCCAGCAAUGCCGCGUGCAGGAAGAAGGCCUUCGGGUUGUAAACUGCUUUUGUACGGAACGAAACGGCUCUGGUUAAUACCUGGGGCUAAUGACGGUACCGUAAGAAUAAGCACCGGCUAACUACGUGCCAGCCGCCGCAGUAAUAC
rnacentral:rRNA from 1 species